UCACUGUUACGCUGACACAAAGUCCUAAACAGAAAAAGGAGAACAGAGGAAGAUAUUGCAGUCAAAGUAAUCCCAUCAUUAUUUGCUAUGAUUGUCUUUUCAUAAUUAAAAACUGUAUUGAUCUUCCUGAGGUUCCAUCGAUGUGAUGUUAGGUUGGACUACCGGAGAGUGAGUUAGUAUGUAGGUUUUUUCCAGUCCUGCUCUUAACGACUUCAAUCAUCUUGGAAGAUCCUAAUGUGCAGCUCAGUGAUAUAGUCAGGUGUUGGAGCAGGGCUGAAACCAAGGCUUUGCACAGUAGCUCUCCAGGAGGAUGGCUGGCGACCACUGAGCUCUUUCUUACUAUGACCUCUUCCAUCCUUCUCAAAACCAACUACAGAAAAAUGCAUUUGGAGAGGAACAUUGGGUCUUACUAUCAAAUGGGAUUUGAGAAGGAGGCGAGGAAUCAAUAAAAACAUAUUUUGAGAAAGAACCCAGGUAUACUAGGGUCUGUGUCUGUUGUGCUUUUUGUUAGAUGAUUGAGGGCAUUCUCCAGAGCAAAGCUGGAGUGAAUGAGUAUACUCUGACAAAAACUUAACUGACCACACCAGACGUAAUAUGAUCAAGGUAUUGGUUGCAAAUAGGACCGGGGAUCAUGGGCAAACCAUCCAUUUUUUGAACACGUUAAGAUCAAUGUUUUGCAUUCAUGUGUUAUUGCCAAUGUCGUAAUUAUUCAUUGUUUGGGGUUCAGAAUAAGUACCCUCAUGAGAUGUGAAGGAGGCAAACGCAAGAGGAAUAGUUUCCUUGUUCCCGUACCUGGCCGACCUCAAAAGCAAGACCGUGAGUACGAAAUAAAUCCGGGUCCCAAUUCACUCCUUACCACGUUCCUUUAGCCCUAACCCUUUGAUGUUUGCAGAUUUGAAGGGUGUGGAUAGAUGUAAGUAGUGUAGUUGUGGAGCUUUCACUCUAUGGAUCUGCAAACAUGGAUAGGGUUAUAGGGCCAUGGGGAAGUGUUGUAAGACUUUUUUUUAAAAAUGGUUUUGCUGUUUUAAAGGCACAGUCUGCUGAUGGUGAAAUUGCCACUGAAACAUCCCUCGAUGUUCAAAUGAUAAACGCAGCAUUUUUUCGAAAUCACUUUUGAAGUCGCAAAGCGGUCUAACAUAGCACUGCUGUUGUUUACAUGCUCCUCCUCGGGUCACUCGAAAUUGAAGAUAACAUCAAUCAGGCUUUGUGUAUGUGAAGGUGACCGAGGAGCAUGUAACAUUACACAGUCCCUGCAACUGUUCAACUUUUCUUCUAGAUUCUAACAUGCACCAGUGACACAUUUGCUUCGGGUAAACAAAAGUGUUAUUUUUUUUUGUUUUUUUUGUCUGUGUCCCACUAUUACACCGCAGAAGACAGGAGUUGUUACUUGCCAUGGGGACUGAAGCACCUGUGAAAAGAAGGCUGCAGAGGGAAGAAUAAAGUCCCCUCGUAGAUCACUAACAGGUGGACAGAGACCCCUUCAUGGACGAAGACUGGCUGAGUGAAGAAGGGCAGUGUCGAGAGGCCAUCGCGCUGAUGAAACACGCGUCUGAUGAAGCAAUCGCUGAAAAAAAAGAUGAAGCUGACCUUUGCCUAGCGCCAAAACAUUGUCCAUGACCCACAUAACUCUUCUGACAUACUCAGUGUUUCCGUGGUUCCUGGACAUACCAAGCAUGAUUGAGCAAGAUUUUAGACUGAUGUUUGGUGACGCAACUUCCACAUAAUUCCUGAAGAAAUGGCCUACGGUCUUUAAACGGAAUGUCAUCCAGCAGAGCCAUGGACUCAACUGAGCUUCAGGACCUGAUACACAACGCUGAGUCCACAGCUGAGAUGGGAAAUGGCUGGGACACUGACAUUCUACUCCUUGUCCAUCUUCUGCCUCCCUCCGCUCAAGGCCUCAACAGGCUGGGAAAGAUGUCAACAAGACCCUCAGCUGAACCUCUUGUGAUGUUUGUUAAGGCAGGGACCAGCAUCCAGCAGCGUCUGGAUGGCAUCACCGGAAGUCAACAGCCCUUUCUGCUUGCUGUGGAGACCCAGAGAAUUAGUAUUCACGCCUACUUCAUCGUGAUUGAAAAACAUACAGUACCUUGUAAGGCAUCAAAUCACAUUUAAUUUGUAACAUGCGACAAAUACAACAGGUGUAGACCUUACCAUGAAAUGCUUACUUACAAACCUUUAACCAACAAU